AGGAAAAGAAACCAACAGGGAUUGCCUCAGUAGCGGCGAGUGAAGCGGCAAAAGCUCAAAUUUGAAAUCUGGCGUCUUUGGCGUCCGAGUUGUAAUUUGAAGAAGGUAUCUUUGGGCCCGGCUCUUGUCUAUGUUCCUUGGAACAGGACGUCACAGAGGGUGAGAAUCCCGUGCGAUGAGAUGGCCCGGGUCUAUGUAAAGUUCCUUCGACGAGUCGAGUUGUUUGGGAAUGCAGCUCUAAGUGGGUGGUAAAUUCCAUCUAAAGCUAAAUAUUGGCGAGAGACCGAUAGCGAACAAGUACAGUGAUGGAAAGAUGAAAAGAACUUUGAAAAGAGAGUGAAAAAGUACGUGAAAUUGUUGAAAGGGAAGGGCUUGAGAUCAGACUUGGUAUUUUGCAAGUUACUCUUUCGGGGGUGGCCUCUGCGGUUUACCGGGCCAGCAUCGGUUUGGAGCGGUAGGAUAAUGGCGGGGGAAUGUGGCACGACUUUGGUUGUGUGUUAUAGCCUCUGACGAUACUGCCAGCCUAGACCGAGGACUGCGGUUU
rnacentral:rRNA from 1 species